rnacentral:rRNA from 1 species
UACAGAGGUCUCAAGCGUUGUUCGGAUUCAUUGGGCGUAAAGGGUGCGUAGGCGGCGCGGUAAGUCGGGUGUGAAAUCUCGGAGCUUAACUCCGAAACUGCAUUCGAUACUGCCGUGCUUGAGGACUGGAGAGGAGACUGGAAUUUACGGUGUAGCGGUGAAAUGCGUAGAUAUCGGGAGGAAUACCUAUGGCGAAAGCAGGCUACUGGACCGUCACUGACUCUGAUCUGCGAAAGCUAGGGGAGCAAACAGG